AUUAAAUAAUAUUAGUAAAUAAUAUUGCACCAUCCGCAGUUCCUGAAUCACUAUAGUUUAGGAGUGCUGUACCCUGCAUCAUCAGGGUAUUGAAGAGUUGGAUCCAGAAUUUUUUAUGGGACCACCACGAAAACGUUUACUGUUGAUUAAAAAAACUUAUUGCAAAUCGAUCCUGAAACCUUGAUAAAACGAAUUGAGAGCCACCUUCUUUUUGAAAGUCGGCU